GGCUGUAUGGUACAGCAGUAUCAGUCUCGGUCCCGCCUUCAUAAGUGGAACCGAGAGUCGAGAGUUCGAUUCCCUCUCCCGCCA